ensembl:lncRNA
GUAACAGGCAUUGUUUUGCUGAGAAAUUGGCUUUAUCUAGUGCAGACUUACGCACGCAAAGUCGCGGUGUCCCUCCCUGGAGGGCCUGGCCCGCUGCAGGGAUGUUAUUCCUGUGACUCAGCUUUCAGACCAGUGGAGGCCUAUACGCCGCAUUUCGGACCUCUUUGUCUCCCUUGCUAGCGUUCCUCUUGGCUUUGGCAGAACGUAAAGCAACCCUCAGUGAUUUUAAAAGAGAAACUUCCAGCACUGUAACAUCCAUAUUGUUUCAUCAGCAUAAUCUUUGUGGGCACUCGACUCAACAGUAAUAUUUGCUGGAUGUAAUGUGUCUGGAGUUUAUAGCUCCCUCUUAGCAAAAUAAGUCAAGUUCAAGCUCUGCCAUUGACUUACUGCCUGACAAUGAGGAAAUUCUUCACCUUCUUUUUUAUUUUAAUAGAUUAUCAAAGUGAUUGCUAAGGAGGCCUGUGUUGAAUUCCAAAGACUAUAGUCCCAUUAUCUCUAACAUCACAAGAUAAAAUUCAAAAAUCAAAUAUAUUUUUCAAGGGAGCGCUUCCAGCACUAGGACAUCUCCAAAGUGCAACUGCAUCUGGAAAUAUAAAAGAUUUGGGUAGAGGGAAAAGCUUUUCAAAAUGACACCUGACUAUGUGAAUUCCAGUGACCCACUUGCUAAUGAAAAUUAUUACAAAUACCAUGUCCUGCACCUGCAAAUGGCAUGUGAAAGGAAGAAGAUCUGCCGGUUAUAAAGAGGCCUAAUUGUGAUUAUUUCUGAGACAAGAUAACUUACCAGAAGAACAUAAGAAGAAAGAGGAGGAGGAACAGAAGAACAGCAACAAAGCUAAGCUUGCAACCCUUGCUUGGUUAAGCCCAGAGUUCUUCAUCUGGAUUUUGUUGGAUUUUAAAGGCUCCUACCAUCUGCUCCACCUGCCUACACCCCAGACUCCCCUGUGGCUCCUGCAGUACCCAUCUGCUCAUCCUGUUCUCCCUCACAGUGGAAUCCUCCUUCCACUGAUGGGAAUCUAAAUUCCCUUAAAGGCAAAGACCAAGGACAGGCACACAGUAGCUUAUGCCUGUAAUCCCAGCAUUUUGGGAGGCCAAGGUGGAUGGAUCACCUGAGGUCAGAAGUUCAAGACCAGCCUGGCCAACAUGGUGAAACCCCAUCUCUACUAAAAAUACAAAAAUCAGCCAGGCAUGGUGACACGUGCCUAUAAUCCCAGCUACUCAGGAAGCUGAGGUAGGAGAAUUGGCUUGAACCUGGGAGGCAGAGGUUGCAGUGAGCCAAGAUCAUGCCACUGUACACCAGUCUGGGUAACAGAGUGAGUGUCUGUCCCAAAAAACAAAACAAAAGACGCAGCCCAAGGCUGAGUGUACUAGCUCACUCCUAUAAUCCCAGCACUUUGAGAGGUUGAGGAGGGAAGAUUCCUUGAGUUCAGGAACUCGAUGUAUUGACCUGUAGUCCCAUCCACUCAGGUAGCUGAGGGGAACUGAUCACUUGAGCUUAAGGGGUGGAGGCUACAGUGAGCUGUGGUCAGGCUGCUGCACUCCAGCCUGGGCUACAGAGCAAGACCCUAUCUCAAGGAAAAGACACACACACACACACACACACACACACACACACACACACACACACGACACAGCCCAGUUUCCCCUAUUAGUGAUAGAGAAGGGAAAGAAGAAAGAAGAGAAAUGAUAUUUAGUGGAUUAGCUAUAUCUUGUACUCUCUGUUAA